CUGAUGGGGUGUUUCUGGGACGAGGCGACUGGAACUGAAAGCAAAGAGAAUAUUUCAUGACUGCAGACAUAAUCAGACGUUUAUCCACUCGUGAGCAGACGGACGUUUUCACUCCUUUUCUGCAUUUUUACAAACUUAAUGCAAAUGUCGAUUCUUUCAAAGACUCCUACAGCUCAGAAACUUUAAUCUAACAAACACGAAAUACACUCUCAAGUCACGCCUUUAUCACGCCAUGGUGGCGUUCCUACUGUUCCCGUCUCUAGAUCUGGCGCUGUGGCGGGACGACUGAAGGUGAGACUUUACAGCGGUGUCAGUAUUCAGGGACCAGAAAAAGGACUUUGGCGAGUGUUGGCGGCUCUGGAGCGGUAGCAGGUGUUUGCUUUGUCUCCGGGUGAGCGAAGAGGACAGACGGUGAUUUAUUUGUGCCGAGUUUAAGACUCUCUGCAGAGCUGGAAAAAGAGAGAGAGACAGAGAGAGAGAGAGAGAGAGAGAGACAGAGAGAGAGAGAGAGAGAGAGACCUCGGCGAUGAAAUCACUCAGACUGGAUUCAGGUACGUUUGCUUAUUUUUGGACCGGGUUUUCUACUUUGACGAUAAUUGUUUAUCAAGAAAGUUUUUUUUUUUUCAUAAAAAUUACAGAAAAUUAGACGAAGCCUCCGUCCACAUUAUUUCAAACUCAUAUGUAUAAAAAAGUUUAAUGUCACUGAAAACAGAGAGUUUGGAGAACGCCUCUAAAGAUGGAGGUUUAAAAUAAAACCUGUGCACAGUUAAAAAGAAAAAAACCUUUAAUAAGUGGGUGUCGCCGAGUUUUUAAGUGUUGUUUUUCUGUUUUCAUGAUUUCAUUUUAUUCAUUUCUAUAAUUAGAUUAGAUUAGAUUUGAUUUGAUUUGAGGUACAUUUAAUUGAAAGUUUUCUUUAGCCCACCAGCUUUUAUGGAGUUCACCUGAGAACCUGAUCCAUGCAGUAACACCUCUAGUCUAUGUUCACACUGCAGGUCAAUUCAGAUUUUUUAACCAUCUGUGACUCAUAUCUGAUUUUUUCAUCUAAGUGUGAACAGGUCAAUUCUGAUUGGUUCUAAUCCGACCCAGGCCUCUUCUGUAUGUGGAUAUAAAUCCGACCUAUACGUCAUCAAUAUGUGACAAACGUCACCAUUGUUCAACGACACAAACAGGCGCGGAAAGAAAUUUGUCACAUUAGAUGCCGCAUUCGUUGUUGUGAUGUGAACGAACGCACAAAAAGAUCGGAUUUAACAAAAAGUCUGAAUUGUGCAUCAGAACCUGCAGUGUGAACGUAGCCUUGGUUUCCACUAGCAGAGGAUUUACGUUGAAUUACGAGGUUUCAGUCCUCUGUUUUUCUCACUGGAGACUCUCUUGACGUCAGUAAUUUAUAUAUAUUUUAUUUAUACAUAUAUUUAUUAUUUUUAUUAUUUAGAUAUUUAUUGAUGAUGCACGCUCAGAUGGUUUUAAUGGUUUUCUUUUUGUCUUUUAUUUUUAUUUUAAUUUUUAAAAAUUUCAAUUAAAAGUUUGUAAUCACCUGAACUCUGCGUCUCCUUCCUUGUCCUUAAAUUCACGAUCUCGUCACUCCCACCUUCGCCGACAGAUUCCUCCCUGCCUCCCAAUCGUCCAAUCGUCCUCCUUUGCAGGAACAGGGCGGGGGUCUUAAACUCAGGCAGAGGCAGACUCCAGAGUUUAGGAUAUACAGUAUAAUGUAAAUAAUAUAAAUAAAAUAAUAAUAUUAAUAAAAUAAAAUAUAUUUACUGUAAAAUGAAAGUCCAGAAGUGUUUCCUGAUCGUGGGACUUCAGAGUCUUUAACCUCGCUUCCUCAGUCCUUUUGGAUCUUCAUCAUUUCCAAAUAUGGUCAAACAGGAACUUGUUUCUUCUUUCUUCUAAGUGAGUUUAUUUUCGCUCUACAAGCAGACGUUUUUGGCUUGGUGUGUAUGUGGUUCCCUGUGCUUCUGCAGCGAGCCUCAAGUGGUCACUCAGGGAACUGCAGUUUUGCGCAGCUCGGUUCUGCUGCAGGUUUAAAACUGAUGGACAUGUUUUUUUCCGGUGUACGUUGUUAACUCGAACCUUCGCCACCUUUUGUCGCUCAUAUAUCUGUAUCUUCGAUUCAGUUGCAGAGAAGAGCGUGAAGGGUCAAACCGUAACGCCGUGCCGUUGAUUAAAACUUUCCAGGAGCCGAUCUGCCCUCUCUGCGUUUCUUCCCACCGUCUGUCCGUGAAUGGAGAUGACAGCGCCCGGCUCUCCCUCGGUUUCAGGGUCCAAGCUUCAAAAGGUCUUUGUGCGUUUUACUGUCACAGAGAGCGUCUCUCCACGACGGGCCGUAAUUAGUGUUUGUUAAGACGGAUGCGGCCGCGUCCUCAUUAGCAUAGCGGCGUUUAAUGAGCAGCUCCGUCACACGGCUCUAAUCAGCAGGACAAACAAACAAGAGGAGGAAAAUCAUUACCUGCUGAAUGAAAACACCACACGUCCCUCUGAUAUAUUCAGGCCCAGUGAAACACGAGAGGGGGAAAGACGCUCCUUAAACAAAUACUCCUCUCACUGAUUAGUCGCUCUUUUAUUCCUCUUUCUUUCUCGGCUCUUCUGUCCCAGAUUUUUUCUUUCCCCAGUAUUUUAUAUCGACUUAAUUUGUCAGAGUUGUUUUUUUCUUUUAAAGCUCUAGUCCUCUGAGAAAUAAAGAAACUGGUUUAUAAAUUAAACUCUGUUUUUUUUUUCAAAUUGUGAGAAAAUGAAAAUAUCAAGGAAAUUAGAUUUUACCUUCAGCAGUUUCAGCGGUCGAGUCCUUUAUGAAAGAAAACACCUGAUGGUUUGUAGAUGAUUUUAAAUCUUUAUUUUAAAGGAAAUUUUGUGAGGAAAAAUUAUGAGAACCAAACACCAUGUUCAGGAGCGCGUUUACGUGAAGGUGUCAGAUAAAGAGGAGACGGGUUUUGGACUUUUUCAAGGAAUACGGGGAUCGGGUUUUUGUCUGGUAGAAGAUUUCAGCUGCUCAAAAGUUCAGGGUCUCCAUGUUGCUCCUAAACCUGGAGAUAUUGUUCAGCAUUAUGGUUAAAACCGAGGAUGCAGCAUCUAGGAUUUCCAGUUCUUCGUUGAAAGGACAACUCGACUUACUUGAGACGUUUCGCCUUAGGCAAAACGUCUCAAGUAAGUCCAGUUGUCCUUUCCAAAAGAGAGUUAGAUUUUAGUUUGAUUUAGUUCACGGACACUGAUAUUAAAGAGAUAUUACCUACUCACCCACUCUCUUCCAGCAGCCACUUGUUUGUAGCGAGACCUCAGGCCAGUCCAUUACGGACUACAGCGGGGUUUCGCAGCUCAAGGAAGAACAUUUAUGAUGAUUUCCUUGAAGUAAUAAUCACCAUAUUAAUCAUUUUACAGACGCGGUAGUUCUUCUGUCUUAGCGUCUCGGUCUGAUUGUAUUUCCAUGAAGAAAUGAUCAUAAAUGUUCUUCCUUGAGCUGUGAAACCCCGCUGUAGUCCGUAAUGGACUGGCCUGAGGUUUCCGUUGAAGUUAGGUGCUGUUCUGAGCAUUAUUUGUGGCUAUAGAGUGGCGUUUUGGUUGAGGGCGUGGCUCUCUGUAUUACUAUCCUGCGGUCGUUACUAAGGUUGGUAAAACUAGAGAAACAAGCGGUCGACAACAUUCAUCUCUGGGGGGAGGGGGGGUCUAACUCGGUGUUUCGUUGUGUUUGUUUACGCAGGAAUAUCCCUUUAAGCCCAUGUUGUGACUCCAAAUACAGAGUCCUGUUGCUCCUAAGCCUGUAGAUAUUGUUCAGCAUGAAUGGACUCUGAUUGCUGGAUCUAGACUCAGAGAUGUCCGGGUGGACCAUCUUCUCUUCCAUUUGGAGGACUCAGUGUCGAAGAUUUCUAACGAGAGCGUCAGACCGGAGACAGUUUCCCACUUCUCCUCAGUCCAGCUCAGGUGGGCUCGACCCUGGAGAACUGCAGGUGUUUGUGGACCACAAUGAUCUGGUUUUCAGUUUGAUCUGUUUUUGUGGAAGCAGCAGUGAACUGAGUUACAGUGAGAGGAAUAAGUUUGUGGAACAAUCUGAACAGAGAAACUAAAGAAGAUAAAUCAAAUUUGAUCUUCAGAGAAAGAGUCAAAGUCAGAAUGUCGAGUAAAUACAGAGAAACAUGUCCAUCGAAGUCUUGGUCUGUUUGUUUGUGAAAAAAUGUGAAUUAACGUGUUUUUUUCUUCUUCUGUUUGAAAAUAAGAAAUAAACUGUUAAAAGUCGUGUUGGCCUGCAGCUCUUUUUUAUUUUUUAUUAUGUUUAGUUGAUUAUUAUCUUGUGACAGAGGGGCAGACUGUGAGAGUUUUCUUCUUUCUGCUCCUUUUCAUUCACAUGUUUGAGGUUUUUCCUUCUUUGUAUCGAAGGUUUUAAAUAUUAACUGAAUGAAAUAAAGUAUAAAAUAAAAAAUCUACAUAAACCGUGUUGGUGGUGAUUUUGAGCCUGUAACAUCUGUUUCACUGUUUCACAGCUUUCACAGUUUUUCUGGAUGAAUCUUCUAAAUCAGAACUUUGACUUUUUUCCUGUUUGUUCGACAUUCACAGAUUUGGACGAGCGAAAAUAUUGAAUUGAAGCAUUAAGACUCAAGAUUAUUUGGAGAUGUGUUCUCUGACUGUAAUCACGUUUGGGGUCUAACCUUGAACAGUAUCUAACAGGAACUCGGCCUGUUCUGGACCUGGUUUUGCACCAUUUCGAUCUCCUCAAAGGUUAGAACUAAAAUAAAGACGAUAUUCAGGACUUAAAUCACGGUUUAUCUCCUCUUCAUGUUUUGUACGAGUUCAUGUAUUUAAUUUUUAUUUUAAUUCAGUGAUUUUUGCACUAAAUGGGAAGUCUGAUUGUGGGCGGGCUCUAAAUCGGCGCCCUGAUGAACUCAAACAACAAACUUUCCGUCUUCAUGUGAAAAUCAGUCGAAUAAAACCUGGAAAUGAACCUUUACGGACUCACCUUCGCCUCAGUGCGGACUCUCCCUCUCCUGCCGUGACGGCGAUUAAAACGCUCAGACCUUGACUCCACGCUCUGCCGUCUCAGCCGCUGUCUUCAUAAAUAACCGAGCGGCGUUAACGGCGGCGGUGUGAGCCAAAAACAUUCACACUGUAACACAUUAGCAUACUAAUUAAAACGCCGUUAUAUCCCACAGCAUGCAGAUCCUCACACUCCUCCCACUCACUAACACAGCUCCCUCUGGUCCGUCUCUGACCUCUGACCCCUCAGCGCCGCCACAAUGACACAUAUUUCAUUAAUCCUCGCCGCACUCAGGUGUAAUUAACGAGCCGGGGGAGCGACAGGAGGUGAAUAUCAAUCCGUCGAGCGUUGACGAUGUGGGCGGCGGCUCCUCUGUCCUCCUACAUGUUCAGAGGUGUCCAUCAAACGGAGAGCAGCGGCAAACACGGACGCUCCGGCAAAGGUCAUUCACGCUCAGGAUGCUGAUAUCAAAUCCUCCGCCAAGCUCUCAUGAUCUGUCAAUCUGAACGGCAGCCAUGAUGACUUCACAGCCGAUUCCACGAAGUCUGCGCCGCUCUGCCGCGACAAGAGACGAGGAAAAGGUUGAACGGAAUACAAGUUUAAUUUGAGAGGAGGGAGAAUCUGAGUCGAUAAAAAACGACCAAAUCAAAUUAUUUCACAGUAUCAGGUCACUUCAAAAUAAAAAAUAUUAAAUAAUCAAAGAAAAAGUGGCAAAACACAUCCGUGGAAUAAGAUCUUAAUGUUCCCGGUUCAAAUCUUUGCUGAUGAUGAGACGAUUUUUGUUAUAAUUUAACUCAUAGAACUCAGAUGACUCCAUUAAUAUAGUUUACAGUUUCUCAGGAACUAUACCGUGUACCUCUAUUGGAUCAAAAGUGUUCUAAAGUUUACCCUUUUGGCGAUCUAUCGAGGGUUUCCAGACAUUUCUACACCUGCCACAAGGUUUACAAUCCAGCCACAAAAACAGGAGUUUGAUCAGAGACGUUUGAUGGUAAAUCCGCAGUGAUAAACCGCUGAAAACAGGAUUAUUGAUCAGAUUAUUGUGAUUAAAAAAAAGAUCCCUAUCUCUAAAUGCCGCUAAUGUCUUCCAGGUUUGACAAACUGUUUUUAUGACGUCUUUUUUGUCAAACUUUCGACCAAUUACACGUUCUCAUAUUCUUCUUCUAUCGUUCCCUUGACGGUAGUGUCCAAUAAGAGACAAGAAAGUUCCCUGCUUGUCUGUAAAAUCUGAAAUAAUGUUCAUCAAUGUUUGGAAACAAGUAAAGAAGAGAUUCUGAACAGUAUGAUGUGGUCCUCUGUCUCAUCCAGACAGGAACUGCUUCAAGGAGCGGCAGAAACAACUGUAAAUAGUCAAAAACACCUGGAAGAAUGAGUGUAAAUAUGUCAAUAGUUUCUGUUGUGUGUUUGUUCCAAUCCUAAUAUUUCUUCUCCUGAGAGCCAAGACAUGAGAAAGCAAAGGAGUUUAAUGGAGCAAAGUGCUGUUGGGAUCAGCUUCUGUUUUUGUUCUUUGGUUGACUUUGAUGGUUCUGGAUCUACUGUCACAUUUAUUUUACAUCAUUUUUGCUCCAUAAACUGAAGCUGAGGUUGUCCUGAAAAAAGAGACGCGUAUAAGCGGACUAAAAACAGCUAAAUAUAGCUGUGUGUUUGAAGGGUAAAAGACUAACAGGAAAUGUGCUGCACUGAACAACAAGAAGACCAAUCAUUGUUCAGGGUUUUAGGAUCAGCAGGACUCCAAUGUUUUCAUCAGCGCAACAGGAAACGAUCCAAAACUGAGAGCGAAAUCAACCUGCUGCACAAACUCUUUAAAGAUUUGAUCUGAGACGUUUGACAUGCAGAGAUCCCUCUAAAGACCACGACGAUGAGGGUCUGAAACUGUAUGGAAACAAGUCCAGGUUCAGUGUGUUGCUCAACCGGAGUUUCUUCUUCAGGCGCCAAAAAAACGACCAGAAACAGAAUUCUGACUAAAGUCUGGUCCUGUUCGGUCCGCCUCAGAGACUCAGAUGUUUGAAGCGGCUCGAACAAUAAUCCAGCAGACGGGGAGGAUGAUGUGUGAGUGUGAAAGUUUACUCCUCAGAGCCGUCUCACCUUUGAAUGAUCUCCACGCCGACCUUCCCCGACAUGAAAGUGAUAUUUGGACGUCCGCUGAAUGAAGCGGCCUCAGAGGGAAACGUCUUGAGUCGGCUUCAUACGGCUCUCCACGCUGAAAAGAUGAACCCUCUGCUUUAUCUGCCGCUCUUUAUUCUCCUCUAAUUAGCCAUCAGCGUGGAGCCGCUCUCCGUCUCUCCGUGGCCGAGCCGCGGCACAUCCUUUUCUUCUGGCACCUUUUGGGAAAUUAAUUCAUUUAUUGCUAAAGUGUCUUAAUAAUUACAGUGACAUGGAGGUUAAUUGCCUAAUCUCUAUAGCCAUGGAGGCAUCCCGAUGAAAUCCCCACACAAUCUGUUACAGAAACAGCAGCCAGAAGAUCCUCUGUAACCAGAGGGGACGCUCUGACCCAAAUAAAGUUGUUUUUUUUUUCCUUUCUCUCUCUUUUAACAUCCAGCAGGUAGCGGACAGGGAGCUCAGGUACGCUGUCAUUAAUUUCCCACUUUGAUUUAAGGUUGGAAACUUGUUCUGGAGCUGAGGGAGAGAGAGAGAGAGAGAGAGGGAGGCUGUCUGAGUGCUCUAAAAUAUGGAGGUCCACUCUCACAAUGUCAGCCAAGGACUCCUGUUACUACCUGUAAAAUAAAAGUGCCACAAUUUCCCUUUAAUCCUCAACGCCUGAAAUAUGACGAGAAGUCUUUUUCUUUCCUUUCAUGAUCGGAUUCGUCCUUCAAGAUUUCAGAAAUCUGCACAUGCAAAAGUUGAGAAAGUCUGAAGUCAUUCGGAGAAAAUUUCCAAACUACAAUUAUUCCCUUCAAAGUAAAAGUCCGAUAAUCAGAGUUCAAAAAGGCCUCACCUGGAAAAUCUGUCACCAAUUUACAGAAGAAAUUUACUCACCUGCUUCAAAAGUUCAAAACUAAUUCUUUAUUAAAACAGAUCAGACCU
rnacentral:lncRNA from 1 species